rnacentral:rRNA from 1 species
GUCGUAACAGGUUUCCGUAGGUGAACCUGCGGAAGGAUCAUAG